ensembl:misc_RNA Metazoa_SRP Metazoan signal recognition particle RNA
GCCGGGCGUGGUGGCACACGCCUGUAAUCCCAGUUACUCAGGAGGCUGAGGCAGGAGAAUCUCUUGAGCCCAGGAGGCGGUGGCUGCAGUGAGCCGAUAUCGCGCCACUGCACUCUGGGCAACAAAGAGAGACUCUGUCUUAA